rnacentral:rRNA from 1 species
GACGAACGCUGGCGGCGCGCCUAACACAUGCAAGUCGAACGAGCGAGAGAGAGCUUGCUUUCUUGAGCGAGUGGCGAACGGGUGAGUAACGCGUGAGGAACCUGCCUCAAAGAGGGGGACAACAGUUGGAAACGACUGCUAAUACCGCAUAAGCCCACGACCCGGCAUCGGGUUGAGGGAAAAGGAGCAAUCCGCUUUGAGAUGGCCUCGCGUCCGAUUAGCUAGUUGGUGAGGUAACGGCCCACCAAGGCGACGAUCGGUAGCCGGACUGAGAGGUUGAACGGCCACAUUGGGACUGAGACACGGCCCAGACUCCUACGGGAGGCAGCAGUGGGGAAUAUUGCACAAUGGGGGAAACCCUGAUGCAGCGACGCCGCGGGGAGGAAGAAGGUCUUCGGAUUGUAAACUCCUGUUGUUGAGGAAGAUAAUGACGGUACUCAACAAGGAAGUGACGGCUAACUACGUG